rnacentral:rRNA from 1 species
GCAAGUCGAGCGAGAAAGUACUUCGGUACGAGUACAGCGGCGGACGGGUGAGUAACGCGUAGGAAUCUACCUAGUAGUGGGGGACAACUCGUGGAAACGCGAGCUAAUACCGCAUACGCCCUAAGGGGGAAAGCGGGGGAUCUUCGGACCUCGUGCUAUUAGAUGAGCCUGCGUAAGAUUAGCUAGUUGGUGGGGUAAAAGCCUACCAAGGCGACGAUCUUUAGCUGGUCUGAGAGGAUGAUCAGCCACACCGGGACUGAGACACGGCCCGGACUCCUACGGGAGGCAGCAGUCGGGAAUAUUGCGCAAUGGGCGAAAGCCUGACGCGGCCAUGCCGCGUGUGUGAAGAAGGCCCUAGGGUUGUAAAGCACUUUCAAUUGGGGGGAAAAGCUAAUGGUUAAUAGCCAUUAGCCCUGACGUUACCUUUAGAAGAAGCACCGGCUAACUCCGUGCCAGCAGCCGCGGUAAUACGGAGGGUGCAAGCGUUAAUCGGAAUUACUGGGCGUAAAGCGCGCGUAGGCGGCUCUUUAAGUCGGAUGUGAAAGCCCCGGGCUCAACCUGGGAACUGCAUCCGAUACUGGGGAGCUAGAGUGUAGGAGAGGGAGGUAGAAUUCCAUGUGUAGCAGUGAAAUGCGUAGAUAUAUGGAGGAAUACCAGUGGCGAAGGCGGCCUCUUGGCUUAACACUGACGCUGAGGUGCGAAAGCGUGGGGAGCAAACGGGAUUAGAUACCCCGGUAGUCCACGCCGUAAACGAUGUCUACUAGCUGUAGGGGUCCUUGAGACCUUUGUAGCGCAGCUAACGCACUAAGUAGAC